rnacentral:rRNA from 1 species
AGGAUGAACGCUGGCGGCGUGCCUAAUACAUGCAAGUCGAACGAGGUCUUCGGACCGAGUGGCGAACGGGUGAGUAACACGUUGGUACCUACCCCGAAGUGGGGAAUAACUGCCCGAAAGGGUGGCUAAUACCGCAUAAUACCGCAAGGUUAAAGCAGUAAUGCGCUUCGGGAGGGGCCUGCGUCCCAUUAGCUAGUUGGUAGGGUAAUGGCCUACCAAGGCGACGAUGGGUAGCUGGAUCGAGAGGUUGACCAGCCACACUGGGACUGAGAUACGGCCCCAGACUCCUACGGGAGGCAGCAGUAAGGAAUCUUCCACAAUGGAC